AUGGCGAUCGAGACGGAGCCCGCCGCGCCGCCCCGCCUCCUGGGCCCUCCGGUAGUUCGCGGCGUGCGCCCGCCCGCCGACUCAGCCGCCGACCCCGCGUCGCACCCCUUCCUCGACCUCCUCGACGCGGCCUUCAACGCGCCGUCGGACGCGGAGAUCAAGGCGGCGCUGACGCCGCGGCGCGCGCUCACCGAGAACUGCUCGGCCACGUACGCUAACUCCGGCAACCCCUGCCUCGACUUCUUCUUCCAGGUGGUGCCCGACACGCCGCCCGAGCGCGUGCGCGGCCUGCUCGCCGCCGCCUGGGCCCACGACGCGCUCACGGCGCUCAAGCUCGCCUGCAACCUCCGCGGCGUCCGCGGCACCGGCAAGUCGGACAAGGAAGGCUUCUACGCGGCCGCGCUCUGGAUGCACGAGCACCACCCCCGGACGCUCGCCUGCAACGUCGCCGCGCUCGCCGAGUUCGGCUACCUCAAGGACUUCCCCGAGCUGCUCUUCCGCCUCAUCCACGGCCCCGACGUGCGCAAGGUCGCCAAGGCGGCCGCCGAGGCCGACAAGGCUCGGAGGAAGGAGAACGAUCUCGGCGAGCAGGAGGCCUUCCGCACCUGGUUGGCCGGUCAGCCGAAAAGAUCCCGCUGCGUCAGCGAACCGGUCUCCGGGUCCGGGCCACCCAAGGCCACCUUCGGUGAUUUCCUCGCCGCCGCGCUCUACAAAUCCCGCAAGAGCAAGGCCGUGGUGGUUGAGGUCGUCCCUGUGCCCGUCGCGGUCCAGGAGGCAGCCAACCAGAAGCAGGAGGCGAUGGAGGCCGCCCUUGUCCCCGUCGCCGUCCCGGAGGCAGCCAAGCAGAAGCCGGCCGAGGCGAUGGAGGCCGUCCAUGUGCCCGUCGCGGUCCCGGAGUCAGCUGAGCAGGAGCUGGAGGCGAUGGAGGUGGAUCAGACGACCCCAAGUAAGCGGCAGAUGUCCAAGAAGGUCCGGAAGGCGGCCAAGCUGGCUGUACAGUCGCUGGAGACGUACUACGGCGACCGCGCCUACCGAUUCCUAUUCGACGCCGUCGCGGACUUCUUCGCCGCGCUCCUCGCCUCGGACCUGGAGCAGCUUGCCCACAGCGGGAAGAGGAAGAUCGGGCUCGCCGCCAAGUGGUGCCCCACGCCGGGCUCGUCGUUCGACCGCACCACUUUGCUCUGCGAGGCCAUCGCCCGUCGCCUCUUCCCGCGCGACUCUGACCCCGAGUACGCCCAACUCUCCGACGAGCACUACACGUACCGCGCCCUCCACCGCCUCCGUCGCGAGGUGCUGGUGCCGCUGCGCAAGGUCCUGAAGCUACCGGAGGUGUACAUGUGCGCGCAGCAGUGGUCCGAGCUCCCCUACACUCGCGUGGCCUCGGUGGCCAUGACGCGCUACAAGUUUCUGUUCAAGAAGCACGACGAGGUGCGCUUCGGCAGGUACCUGGAUGACGUAGAGGCCGGCAAGGCCAAGAUCUCGGCGGGCGCACUCCUGCCACACGAGAUCGGCGCGGCCGCGCUCCGUGGCCAGGAGGACGACGUCUCGGAGCUUCAGUGGCGCCGUAUGGUGGACGACCUCCGGUCCAAGGGGUCGCUGCGCAACUGCAUCUCCGUCUGCGACGUGUCCGGCAGCAUGAGCGGCACCCCAAUGGAGGUGUGCAUCGCGCUGGGGGUGCUCACGUCGGAGCUCAGCGAGAGGCCGUGGAAGGGCAAGGUGAUCACGUUCCAUUCAAGGGCCUCGAUCCACCUGAUCAAAGGCAAUACCCUGCGGGAGAAGAUGAAGUUCGUGGAGCGCUUGGAGUGGGGCGGGAGCACCAACUUCCAAAGGGUGUUUGACCAGAUCCUCCGUACGGCCGUGGACGCCGGACUCGCGCCGCAGAAGAUGAUCAGGACCGUGUUCGUGUACAGCGACAUGGAGUUCAACAUGGCGUCAGGCGCCUACUACGGCGGGAAACCGUCGUGGGACAGUGACUACGAGGUGAUUUGCAAGAAGUUCAGGGCCGCCGGCUACGGCGACGUGGUGCCGCAGAUCGUCUUCUGGAACCUGCGCGACUCCAGGUCGAUGCCGGUGACGUCGACCCAGCCCGGGGUGGCCAUGGUGAGCGGCUUCUCCAAGAACAUCCUCAAGAUCUUCCUGCAGAACGGCGGCGUGGUGAACCCCGAGGCCAUCAUGAUGCAGGCCAUCGCCGGCGACGAGUACCAGAAGCUGGCCGUGUUCGACUAG
rnacentral:rRNA from 1 species